rnacentral:rRNA from 1 species
UACGGGGGGGGGCAAGCGUUGUUCGGAAUUAUUGGGCGUAAAGAGCUCGUAGGCGGUCUGUCGCGUCGGAUGUGAAAAUCCAGGGCUCAACCCUGGACCUGCAUUCGAUACGGGCAGACUAGAGUUCGGUAGGGGAGACUGGAAUUCCUGGUGUAGCGGUGAAAUGCGCAGAUAUCAGGAGGAACACCGGUGGCGAAGGCGGGUCUCUGGGCCGAAACUGACGCUGAGGAGCGAAAGCGUGGGGAGCAGACAGG